rnacentral:rRNA from 1 species
UCCCCAAUACACGAAAGUGUGACGGGGCCAUCCCGAGUGCCAUCCGCUGAGGAUGGCUUUUCCCCAGUGUAUAAAGCUGGGGGAAUAAGGAGAGGGCAAGCCUGGUGUCAGCCGCCGCGGUAAUACCAGCUCUUCCGAGUGGUGGGGAUGUUUAUUGGGCCUAAAGCAUUCGUAGCCUGCUUGGCAAGUCCUCCGUUAAAUCCAGCGAUUCAAUCGUUGGCCUGCGGGGGAUACUGUCUAGCUAGGGGGCGGGAGAGGCCGACGGUAUUCCCGGGGUAGGGGUGAAAUCCUAUAAUCCCGGGAGGACCACCAGUGGCGAAGGCUGUCGGCUAGAACGCGCUCGACGGUGAGGGAUGAAAGCUGGGGGAGCGAACCGGAUUAGAUACCCGGGUAGUCCCAGCUGUAAACGAUGCAGGCUAGGUGUUGGCGCGGCUACGAGCCGCUCCAGUGCCGCAGGGAAACCG